GAAAAGAAACUAACAAGGAUUCCCCUAGUAGCGGCGAGCGAAGCGGGAAGAGCCCGGGAUGAAAAUCUCUUCGGAGAGUUGUAGUCUGAGUUCCCUUGGGCGGUCAGUGUGGGUAAAUCGUCUGGGAUGACGUGCCAGGGAGGGUGAGAGCCCCGUCCACCCCACACAGGACCCGCCCGCACGAGGGCGCUUCAACCGAGUCGGGUAGCUUGGGAAUGCUGCUCCAAUUGGUGGUAAAUCUCAUCAAAGGCUAAAUAACGGUGGGAGACCGAUAGCGAACAAGUACCGUGAGGGAAAGAUGGAAAGAACUUUGAAAAGAGAGUGAAAAGCGCUUGAAACCGUCACGGGGGAAGCGGAUUGCGUGAGUGAUGGGGCGCACUGUUCAGCUCAAAAUGUGGAGUGUACUCUGUGCGCGCCGGGCGUGUGUGGCUGGGGCGCGUGCCAAGUUGGCGCGCGCGCCUGGUGAGGGCUCCCCGCUUUGUCGGGUGAGGACACACGCGAAAUGACGCAAUACGACCCGUCUUGAAACACGGACCAAGGAGUCUAGCACGGCUGCGAGUCGAAGGGUGUGGAAAACCCAGAGGGCGCAGUGAAAGCGAAAGAAAGCAAAUUGGGGAGGCGUUGCGGUUGUACCAAAAUGUCCUACCUCGAGCACCUGUGCUGGGACCCGAAAGAUGGUGAACUAUGCCGGAGUAGGGCAAAGCCAGAGGAAACUCUGGUGGAGGCUCGUAGCGAUGCUGACGUGCAAAUCGCUCGUCGAACUUGGGUAUAGGGGCGAAAGACUAAUCGAACCAUCUAGUAGCUGGUUCCCUCCGAAGUUUCUCUCAGGAUAGCGGGCCGACGACGUGUUGUUUUGUGCGGUAAAGCGAAUGAUUAGUGCAUUUGGGGGCCGAAGGCCUUCAGGCGAUUCUCAAACUUUAAAUGCGCAAGGGGGCGGCUGCUCAAGUGAGCCUGCUCUUUGAAAAACGUCGGCCCUGUGGGCCACUUUUGGUAAGCAGAACUGGCGAUAAGGGAUGAACCUUAAGCGCGGUUAAGGCGCCGCAUUGCCCGCUUAUAGACCCCACAAAAGGUGUUGAUUCAUCCAGACAGCAGGACGGUGGCCAUGGAAGUCGGAAUCCGCUAAGGAGUGUGUAACAACUCACCUGCCGAAUGAAUUAGCCCUGAAAAUGGAUGGCGCUGAAGCGGGCAGCCGACACCGCGCCGUUCGGGCGAGACGAUGCCCGGAUGAGUAGGAGGGCGUGGCGGUCAGUGACGCAGGCGUGGGUGCAGACCCCGCUGAAACGGCCGCUAGUGCAGAUCUUGGUGGUAGUAGCAAAUAUUCAAGCGAGAUCCUUGAAGGGCGAAGCGGGGAAGGGUUCCACGCGAACAUUGAUUGGGCGUGGGUGAGUC
rnacentral:rRNA from 1 species